CUUCAAAUGAGAGUACAAAUUUGAGAUCUGGUUAUGAGACUGAAAUGGGAAUUCGGGGAGGAUUGCGACCCAUUCAAAACGGCCAGAUGUGCCUGAGAGAGAGAAGGUUUUCUCUCCAUUUCUACCACUAGUUCGCUUCUCAUUUGCCGAUUUCACCUGCAAUCCGGACCUUGAGAGCCGAAAUAAAGACUCUGCAGCAGCAACAGAUUGAGAAAGGGAAAGAUCCCUUCUGCUUUAUAUAGUAAUAUGGCUCCACACAAAGAAUUCAAUUAUGAAUCAAAGUGAAAUUUUCCAGAACGUCAGAUGAUCUUUCUGUGAACUCCUUGGAGUUGUUUUUAUUCCUACAUAUACAAUAAACUGAUACCAAGU